GUGCAAGCCUAACAUGCAGUCGAGCGAGCUUGCCUAGAUGAUUUUAGUGCUUGCACUAAAUGAAACUAGAUACAAGCGAGCGGCGGACGGGUGAGUAACACGUGGGUAACCUGCCCAAGAGACUGGGAUAACACCUGGAAACAGAUGCUAAUACCGGAUAACAACACUAGACGCAUGUCUAGAGUUUGAAAGAUGGUUCUGCUAUCACUCUUGGAUGGACCUGCGGUGCAUUAGCUAGUUGGUAAGGUAACGGCUUACCAAGGCAAUGAUGCAUAGCCGAGUUGAGAGACUGAUCGGCCACAUUGGGACUGAGACACGGCCCAAACUCCUACGGGAGGCAGCAGUAGGGAAUCUUCCACAAUGGACGAAAGUCUGAUGGAGCAACGCCGCGUGAGUGAAGAAGGGUUUCGGCUCGUAAAGCUCUGUUGGUAGUGAAGAAAGAUAGAGGUAGUAACUGGCCUUUAUUUGACGGUAAUUACUUAGAAAGUCACGGCUAACUACGUGCCAGCAGCCGCGGUAAUACGUAGGUGGCAAGCGUUGUCCGGAUUUAUUGGGCGUAAAGCGAGUGCAGGCGGUUCAAUAAGUCUGAUGUGAAAGCCUUCGGCUCAACCGGAGAAUUGCAUCAGAAACUGUUGAACUUGAGUGCAGAAGAGGAGAGUGGAACUCAAUGUGUAGCGGUGGAAUGCGUAGAUAUAUGGAAGAACACCAGUGGCGAAGGCGGCUCUCUGGUCUGCAACUGACGCUGAGGCUCGAAAGCAUGGGUAGCGAACAGGAUUAGAUACCCUGGUAGUCCAUGCCGU
rnacentral:rRNA from 1 species